rnacentral:lncRNA from 1 species
GGUAAGUAGGCCUCUCCAUCCUGAUAGCGAGGGAGGCCUCAUCGGGUUUGACCCCGGCAUGCUUUGACACCUUUUUCACUGUUGGAAGAUGCUCUGACUUUAAAGUAGAAAGCAGACUUGACUGAAGCUGAUUGACACAGGUCAAGGGGACUUCAAGGAAGAAAGCCAGCCUUAGACUGACAUCAGAGAACCAAACUCCGGUGUCUAAGCUCAAGCUCCUGCUUCCUGACCUGCUUGAGUUCCAGUCCUGACCUCCUUUGGUGAUGAACAGCAAUGUGGAAGUUUCCUGCCUUGACUUCUCUACAAUAAUGGACUGUAACCGAGAAUGGAAAGCCAAAGAAAGUCCUUCCUCUUCUAAGCUGCUCUUGGUCGUGGUGUUUCAUCACAACAACAGAAGAGAACCUAGGACAAUCACCUUACCUGUGAGAGCGAGGAGCCUAUGCAGUAAUACAAGUAAUUGGGAAGACACUGGCUCAGAGCCUGUCUCUGGUGACCACUGAAUUGUCCAGCACCUGAGGUCCCUGGAGCCCACGGACUGAGCCCAUCUGGGCUAAAAGAGGUCCCAUACAUCCUUCUCAAAGGCCUAUAUAAAUGCCAAGCAGAGUUAUAGCAGGAGGUUAGAAUCCUGAGAACUGUUUGGAAUAAGGAAUCCAAAUAUUGUCUUCCAGCUUCACCUUGUCACGACAGUCCUCGCCAGGGACAGCUGAGCCUUGCGUGGAUGAAACAGUCCCAACGAACACUUUAAAAAGACAAAUGUUCCCGACAGCACUGGUUGAAUUCAAAACUCGGCAGAUCCAUGUUCUUAUCCUUAGACAAGAGAGGGGCCAUAACAAGAUGGAAUGACGGAACAGACGUGAGAGAUGAUGUCCACCCAGAGGGUCUGCACUUCUCGGAGCCAGAAGGUGGAGAAGAGUAGGGAUGGAGGAAGUUCGAAGUUUUAGGAGUCUGCUCUUGGGUCCCUAGGCAUGAGGACAAGCUUUUCCUGUACUCAAUGCUCAUCUCUCAGUUGUGCCCACAUUGGUACACAUUACUUGCUUUCAACUGCUGCUGCUGCUGUUUCCUAAUUCAAUAAAGAUAUGGCUGGCUCA